AUUGAACGCUGGCGGCAGGCCUAACACAUGCAAGUCGAACGGUAACAGGAAGCAGCUUGCUGCUUUGCUGACGAGUGGCGGACGGGUGAGUAAUGUCUGGGAAACUGCCCGAUGGAGGGGGAUAACUACUGGAAACGGUAGCUAAUACCGCAUAACGUCGCAAGACCAAAGAGGGGGACCUUAGGGCCUCUUACCAUCGGAUGUGCCCAGAUGGGAUUAGCUAGUAGGUGGGGUAACGGCUCACCUAGGCGACGAUCCCUAGCUGGUCUGAGAGGAUGACCAGCCACACUGGAACUGAGACACGGUCCAGACUCCUACGGGAGGCAGCAGUGGGGAAUAUUGCACAAUGGGCGCAAGCCUGAUGCAGCCAUGCCGCGUGUAUGAAGAAGGCCUUCGGGUUGUAAAGUACUUUCAGCGGGGAGGAAGGGAGUAAAGUUAAUACCUUUGCUCAUUGACGUUACCCGCAGAAGAAGCACCGGCUAACUCCGUG
rnacentral:rRNA from 1 species